AUUGAACGCUGGCGGCAGGCCUAACACAUGCAAGUCGAGCGGGGUUUUCGGACCUAGCGGCGGACGGGUGAGUAAUGCGUAGGAAGCUACCCGAUAGAGGGGGACACCAGUUGGAAACGACUGUUAAUACCGCAUAAUGUCUACGGACCAAAGUGUGGGACCUUCGGGCCACAUGCUAUCGGAUGCGCCUACGUGGGAUUAGCUAGUUGGUGAGGUAAUGGCUCACCAAGGCGACGAUCCCUAGCUGGUCUGAGAGGAUGAUCAGCCACACUGGAACUGAGACACGGUCCAGACUCCUACGGGAGGCAGCAGUGGGGAAUAUUGGACAAUGGGCGCAAGCCUGAUCCAGCCAUGCCGCGUGUGUGAAGAAGGCCUUCGGGUUGUAAAGCACUUUCAGCGAGGAGGAAGGGGUGUGUGUUAAUAGUACACACCUUUGACGUUACUCGCAGAAGAAGCACCGGCUAACUCUGUGCCAGCAGCCGCAGUAACAC
rnacentral:rRNA from 1 species